AAAAGAUUCCAAAAGUUGAAAGAUUCCAGUUCAAUCUAUUCAGUGCAUUAUGUGAUACCGUCUGUUGCAAAUGAGGAUUUGAAAUCUUUUUUCGAAGAGGAAACAGGUCAAUCGGAGAACUAUAUUUAUAAAGUGAUGGUGAAGGAGGCAAUGAUAACAAUAAUGCAGGAGGCCAUAGGUGACGAAUAUGAAAAUGUGGACGUGGAGCUGCGGAAAACAGAGGGGAAAACUACAAAUAAAUCCAAUUCACUUCUGUUGAAUUAUAUCAUGAACGACAGAGAAAAGUACAUCCAAUUACACAAGAGGAAUUAAUGCAUGAUCUGCUCCAUUACAAGUUAUUUGUGACACUAUAUUGAUCUGAAUUCAUACGACUAGAGGUCGUUAAAGUCAAGUACCCAGGACUUUUAUUUUCCCUGCUGUAACAAUUGCUCUACAUUGUCUAAUAUGUUGAAAGAUUUAUUUCACGUGACCAUGCAGUUGAAAGAUGUUACACCAUAUGUUCUUCAUGAUUGUGCGUGAUCAUGCAAGUGUGUUGAUUGGAAAUAAGUUAUUUGCAGAAUUA